GUCCGGCAUCGGGCUCUCCGCAGGGAGCCUGCUUCUCCUUCUGCCUGGGUCUCAGCCUCUCUCUGUGUGUCUCAUGAAUUAAAAAAAAACAAAAACAACAACAACAACAAAAAAAAAACAAAGCCCAGUCUGCUCUGUAUAUUUAAGUUGUUGUUUGGAAAUUCAAAUAUUGUAACAGCCUGCUCUUGAUUUUGCUGUGAGUAGGGACCCUGGCUAGUCUUUUUUCUUCUUCUUCCUCCUCCUCCUCCUCCCCUUCCUCCUCCCCUUCCUCCUCCUCCUCCUCCUCCUUCUUCUUCUUCUUCUUUCUCCUCUUCUUUCUUUUUCUUUUUCUUCUUUUUGUUUUGUUUUUUCUUCCAAACCAUGAGCUUCGGGACUCCGUUGUCUUGGGCUGGAGUUUUGUGCUCCUGUCGUGAGCUGCGUUCCCUCCGCCUCCGCCAGGCUGGCUGGCAUCUGCAGGCGGCUGUGCCCAGGGCCGUGUCCCAGCGCCCCAGUGGCCUCUGCCCUCCCCCGUCCCAUGCUUGCAGCCUCCUGGCUGCUCUCCCACGGUUUCCCCGCAGAUGCACUGCAAAGACAGUGGUGUGGAGCCCGGCCAGGGCAGGAGCUGAGAGGUGUAGGGGCGCCCCCAGCGCAGGGCUGCUUGUCUGUCCUCUGCAGGUCACCCGGGCAGGGCGACCUUGGACGAGUCCCUGGGUGACAGAUCACCGUGGGAGGAAGAGCUCCUGGGCCAGAUCAGGGCCAUGUCAGACUCGCAGAGGAGCAGAGUGCUGGAGGCGAUCCAGCACCGCAUCGAGGAGCACACCCAGGUAG
rnacentral:lncRNA from 1 species